rnacentral:rRNA from 1 species
UGCCUACGGGGGGCAGCAGUAGGGAAUCUUCGGCAAUGGGGGGAACCCUGACCGAGCAACGCCGCGUGAGUGAAGAAGGUUUUCGGAUCGUAAAGCUCUGUUGUAAGAGAAGAACGUGUGUGAGAGUGGAGAGUUCACACAGUGACGGUAACUUACCAGAAAGGGACGGCUAACUACGUGCCAGCAGCCGCGGUAAUACGUAGGUCCCGAGCGUUGUCCGGAUUUAUUGGGCGUAAAGAGAGCGCAGGCGGUUUGAUAGGUCUG